GGAGGGUAAAACAAAUAUUUAAUCAAUUUUAGAAUAAGGCUGUAACAUAUCAAAAUGUGGAAAUAGUCAUGGGGUCUGAACUUUCCGAAUGCACUUUAUAUGUACACAUCUACCUCAUUUCCCUCGUACCCCUCCCUACACAUGGAAUCGGUACUGGUACCUCGUGUAUAUAGCAAAGUUGUUACUCGUAAUAUAUAUAUAUAUAUUUUUUUAUUCCUUGUGUUAUUAUUUUUCUAUUUUUGCUCUGCAUUGUUGGGAAGCGCCGGCUGAGGCUGUGGGGCGGUUCCUCCUCUGCAGUGCAGUGUGGGUCCUGACUGUGCUGUGCCUGGUUGGUCCACAUCUGGAGCGCAGCCCGCCAGGCCAGGUACGAGGUAUGCUCUGAGGCUCUGCCACUCUGGACCACGGGGACUCGUUAAGAGGUAAAACAGCAACCAUGAUAAGAGGACAACACUCAAGACUCUACCCCUCAUUGAUGCUGCUGCAUGUGCUGAUCUGUGAUGUAAGGGAGGUUCCCCCUGGCUGAAUCUCCACAGGGGCCCAGCGUACAGCAGCGAUCCCAGGGCAGGAUAACACACUCUCAGGCCCUGCUCGGUUUGUGGCCAGAUCCCACCGGCAGUUUCCUAACACGACACCUCAGACAAAAGGGCCUUCCCUCGACGGGUGAUAGUUGCUAAGUGACGGUCUACCUCACUGUACUGUACCUGCUGAUGGGGGGGGAUAUUCACAGCUGAGAGGAGAUAAGGACCAGGGAGAGCCCUUCGGCCCUGUGAUAAGGCCCCAGUGCAGAGCUCUGUAUGGGUCUGUUGCCAUGUUACACCUCUUUGAAGCUUUCCCACAGCUGAUUUAUGUUCUUCUCUCCCGGCCCAUUCAUCUGCCAUGUCACAGCUGUUUACCCCUGUUGCUAUCGUUGUUGUUGUUGUUGUUGUUGUUCCACUGCAUUUUAAGAGCUUUAUAAUGAGAAGGUGGUGGAUAUGUUAUACUUUUUUUUUUCUGUUACCAAGUCCCGGCUUGAAAAAUCAAAGUGUUUGAGGAGACACGGGCUGACGGGCUCCUUAUCCACUUCACAUUACGGAGGGAGAAAGGAGGGCGUGAUGUUUUUCUUUCUAUGAUGGUGUUAAUCAGUAUGGCAGUGUGACUGAAGAGAAGGGCCUCGCGCCUUACCGUCAAAGAGAUUCCAGUCAAAGUACGUACACUGUCUGGAAACGGUCUUAAAUUUGCUGCACCUGUGUAACAUCAUCAAUGUAUCUAAGUCUUCAGUGAGACAUGAUUUGGUGCCCUAAUGCCCUUAUGACAUAUCAACACAGCUGUAUUUUAGGAUCCGGGGCCCUAUCUGUCACAUUCACUCGUGUCUUAUCAAACACAAACAGUGUAUAACCAACUAUCAUAUUUUUCACAAGAAAAACUAAACUCCUCUUUCUCGUAGAUGUUUCCCAGACACCUAACCGGCAUCUCUUGGCAACACUCCCUCCCUACAUUCCUUCCCUCUCUCCUUCCCACAGUGCACCUCGGCCAGCCAACAAAGACACAAAGAUGUAAACAGACAGAAUGAACGCUGGCUGAUCCAAAACUACUCAGAGAGAGGGUCAUAGGAAGUAUUUAUUUUGACCAAAAACAAACAGGCCCAAAUUGUGUAAAUAUUAAAUGUUUUAUUUGACAGUUGCUAGGAUGCUGACAUUGAGUGACCCCUCCCUUGUUCGAGCGCAGUAUCUAGAGAAAAUAGGUAUACAUUUCUUCUGUGUUUGAUACAAGGUGUAAUAUAUGAACUCCCAUUCCUGGGUUAAUAUGAUUUGAUAAAUACAUGUACACAUCCCAGGUGACAUGUUCAAAGAUAACUAAAUAAAAAGACUAUGGAAU